CCUACGGGGGGCAGCAGUGGGGAAUAUUGCACAAUGGGGGAAACCCUGAUGCAGCGACGCCGCGUGAGUGAAGAAGUAUCUCGGUACGUAAAGCUCUAUCAGCAGGGAAGAAAAUGACGGUACCUGACUAAGAAGCUCCGUUUAACUACGUGCCAGCAGCCGCAGUAAUACGUAGGGGGCAAGCGUUAUCCGGAUGUACUGGGUGUAAAGGGAGCGUAGACGGCAGCACAAGUCUGGAGUGAAAUCCUGGGGCUUAAACCGGAAACUGCUUUGGAAACUGUGCGGCUGGAGUGCAGGAGGGGUAAGCGGAAUUCCUGGUGUAGCGGUGAAAUGCGUAGAUAUUAGGAGGAACACCGGUGGCGAAGGCGGCUUACUGGACUGUAACUGACGUUGAGGCUCGAAAGCGUGGGGAGCAAACAGGAUUAGAUACCCUAGUAGUC
rnacentral:rRNA from 1 species